rnacentral:rRNA from 1 species
UACGUAGGGUGCAAGCGUUAAUCGGAAUUACUGGGCGUAAAGCGUGCGCAGGCGGUUAUGUAAGUCAGAUGUGAAAUGCCCGGGCUUAACCUGGGAACUGCAUUUGUGACUGCAUGGCUAGAGUGUGUCAGAGGGGGGUAGAAUUCCACGUGUAGCAGUGAAAUGCGUAGAUAUGUGGAGGAAUACCGAUGGCGAAGGCAGCCCCCUGGGAUAACACUGACGCUCAUGCACGAAAGCGUGGGGAGCAAACAGG